CGUCAAAUAAAGAAUUCUGUCCGCAGAAUUAAAAAUGAACAAUUUAAUAUUAAUCAAGCUUUUUGAAAAAAGUUAUUCAUGAAUUCAAUCAAUAUUAGCACUAACCAAAAAGGAAUCAUUAAAAUGAAAAAUUUAAUUAACCUCUUCCUUAAAAAUUUUAAGAAACUUUUCUUAUUCAUACAAAUAUACAAAUAUAUACAUGCGCAAUAAAAC
rnacentral:lncRNA from 1 species